GAUGAACGCUGGCGGCGUGCUUAACACAUGCAAGUCGAACGAUGAAGCCCAGCUUGCUGGGUGGAUUAGUGGCGAACGGGUGAGUAACACGUGAGUAACCUGCCCUUAACUCUGGGAUAAGCCUGGGAAACUGGGUCUAAUACCGGAUAGGAGCGUCCACCGCAUGGUGGGUGUUGGAAAGAUUUAUCGGUUUUGGAUGGACUCGCGGCCUAUCAGCUUGUUGGUGAGGUAAUGGCUCACCAAGGCGACGACGGGUAGCCGGCCUGAGAGGGUGACCGGCCACACUGGGACUGAGACACGGCCCAGACUCCUACGGGAGGCAGCAGUGGGGAAUAUUGCACAAGGGGCGCAAGCCGGAUGCAGCGACGCCGCGUGAGGGAUGACGGCCUUCGGGUUGUAAACCUCUUUCAGUAGGGAAGAAGCGAAAGUGACGGUACCUGCAGAAGAAGCACCGGCUAACUACGU
rnacentral:rRNA from 1 species